GUUAGAAUUUGAGAAUGAAGGCUGGAGGAAGACAGAAGUCAAUUGCUAAUCUUGGUACAUCCAAACUAAUUAGGGUUUUCUGUAUUAAGACUAUCAGCACACUCAAGCUACUUUUGCAAAGAAUAAGACUGGAUCCCUCCUUGACCUCUGGACUCCAACUGAAACAAUCACCCCAGAUCCCCCAAAUGUCUGUUAGUGAUUCCAGGGUUGGUCUAUCCCAGGUAAGAGCUGUCCAUGGGAGCAGUGCUUGAGUAUCUGUGGCUCUAAGGCUGCCCUCUGUCAAAAUGAUUGUUUGCCACGUUGUUUGAUCAAAGGGGGAUGGUAAAAGGAUUGAUAAUCACACCCCAGGUCAUGAAGACAAAGGCUGGAAUUGACAGAUGAGGUAGAUGGAUAGGAGAGGCUUAGCAUGCUAAAAGGUGUUGUAAAAUUGUCAAGAGGAUGGUUUGGAGGCAAAUUCUAUGAAUCCUGGGAAUCUGUUGGGACAUCCCUUCUCAAGGGCAGCCUGGCCCUUUGCUGGUUGGAGGCCAGUUUUUGCAGUGAAUGAAACUGCCAGAUUACUUAGUGACCCAUUGUAGGAAUAGGUAGGGUCCUGAAGAAUCAACUUACCUUGGAUCUCACAGCAUGAAGUUGGACUGGCCAGAAUGAAGGGCAGUAAAACUGUCAUCAAACCAACACAAAAUUUCCUUUAAUUGUUUGUUAGUAGCAUGACCUAGGGCUUUAGCUGUCCUAGAAGGCAAUCAAGGUUAAAACCAAGGGCUCUGAAGUUCAUCUGAGUUCAAAAAUCAACUCCACUGCUUAUAAGCCAUGUAAUCGUACUGUUUAAAAUAACCUAAUAUGUCUAAAAUUGUUGACUCUGUAAAAUAAUCUAUUCAUCUUUCUAAAAUAGCAUAUGCUCCUGCCUGCCUUCUCUGCUGCCCCACCACCCCACAUAUUUUUCUCUGGCAGCCACAAAUUGCUGGAUGGAACCAUAUGAAUUCUAAAUUACUUUUAAAAAUUGACAUUACUUUGCUGUAAGCCAACUACUUCAUAAACUGUGUCAGCUAAAGGUCUCCCCACCAGUUAGUCUGAAGAAGUUUUUGCUGUCAUAUCUGUCCUGUUAAUUUAAGCAGAAACUGUAAUUAGAUGUAAGUGGUCCUGUUCCCACAGAAAUGAAUGGCAGCAUCUGUAGAGAGACAACCGUUCCAAACCCUUUUGGCUACCAGUGCUCUACAAGUUAGCAGUAUGGAGCAAGGCCCAGAUCCAGACUUCUGUCGGCCUAAUUUUAUAUCUGUGGAUGCACAACACUAAAUCCAAUAUUUCUAAUGCCUUGCUGUGAUGGGUGCAAAGCCAAGCACAUUCCAGACUUUUGUGCUGGUGACUCCUCCUGAGAAGGACACACUGUGUGUUUGUGUGUGUGUGUGUUUUCUAUUUUCCUCAAUCACUUAGCAUAGAUAGGAAAAAUAGAGGUUUUAUAAGUAGCUAUGUGUGAAACCAGAAAAUCGGAAAAAUAAGUAAGUUGUGUUUAUAACAGAGCAAUGGAAUCACAAAGAUAUUUUGAAUAAAGAUGUUUUGCUCCUUUGUUUACCUCUCUGA
rnacentral:lncRNA from 1 species